rnacentral:rRNA from 1 species
UCCGGUGGUAUGAGAUGGACCCGCGUCUGAUUAGGUAGUUGGUGGGGUAACGGCCUACCAAGCCAACGAUCAGUAGCCGACCUGAGAGGGUGACCGGCCACAUUGGGACUGAGACACGGCCCAAACUCCUACGGGAGGCAGCAGUGGGGAAUAUUGCACAAUGGGGGAAACCCUGAUGCAGCGACGCCGCGUGAGCGAAGAAGUAUUUCGGUAUGUAAAGCUCUAUCAGCAGGGAAGAAAAUGACGGUACCUGACUAAGAAGCACCGGCUAAAUACGUGCCAGCAGCCGCGGUAAUACGUAUGGUGCAAGCGUUAUCCGGAUUUACUGGGUGUAAAGGGAGCGUAGACGGCUGUGUAAGUCUGAAGUGAAAGCCCGGGGCUCAACCCCGGGACUGCUUUGGAAACUAUGCAGCUAGAGUGUCGGAGAGGUAAGUGGAUUCCCAGUGUAGCGGUGAAAUGCGUAGAUAUUGGGAGGAACACCAGUGGCGAAGG